UGUCAAAAUUCCCCAUUUAUUUUCAGCCUCCUUUGUCCCCUAUCUCUCCAAGCAUCCUAUUGUCAAACCGUCGCUUUGUGUAAGAUACCCGCCCUGGACCCGGACUUUGAUGUGGCAAAAAUGAAUAAUGCCGCUAUCGACCGCCCGCCGCCGGAGCGCAAUCGCGGCCCUCAGAGACGAAGAAGUUCGUCGUUCCCGGUCGUUCCCGCCCCGCCCGCCGUCGCCGCUGCAUCGAGUCAGGGGGUUCGCUCCCAACAGCACUCUAUUAAUAUGCACAACAUGACCAUUUCCAGGAGAAGGUUAUUAGAAUGCUAGUUUGUAUCCUCCAGUGAAUGAAAUGAUGUGUGAUUAUGAAGUCAUCAGGCAUGGACCAGUAAGACUCCAGAGAGCCUCCCCCGUCUGAGGUCCUCAGGGUGCCAUUGAUUGGUGACCAUGUGUUUGUGCCCGAUAGACUGUGAAAUGGUGUGUUGCUACACGGCUGUGUUGCACCUGUGCCCCACCGAGGGGCUAAAAUGAAGUUCUGCUCUGCUUGUACCUUGACUCGAGCUUGAUGGGAUGGGUUGUGCCAGGUACCGAAGGCUUCUGGGAGUCCUUAAUUCAUCUGUGACCUACACUUAAUGCAUAUAAAGAUACUUUAUUUAAAUUGCCCAAUUUUUAAUGAAGCACUGCUAGGUUUUAGUAAUUACGCAACAACCCGUAGGAAAGAAAAACAAACACGGAAAUUGGAAACAAUUUUUUUUUUCCCCCUUUCACCACCAUUCUUUAUUUGGCAUCAGGUGCCGGGAGAAUUUGGGAUUUUUGUUUACGUGCACGAUGGAAUAUUGACGCAGGCUCCCCGUCGCGCCGCCCCCCCGGCCCCUCAACCACCAUUGCCCACCCCCCUCAAAACCUGGCGUGGUGGCACCGUGUCAGGAGGUUUGAGCUUAUUGUAAUUGAAAAUCACUUGCUUAGGAAAACAUUGUGUAAUUAUAAAA